GAGGAAGAAGAGGGGAUUUGGCCACGACCAGAGGGUAGGAGACAGACCACCCUGGAAACAGCUGGCAUUCUCCCCCAGGAGCCUGUGUGUGGAUGUGGCUGUUAGCAUCAGAGGUUGCAGAUCUACCCCACCUCACCCCAAAUCCCCCUUUACCUGCUAUGAGGGAACUGGAAGCUGCAAGCAUCCUCAGCUGACAACUGCACCUCCACGAAUGGCGGGGUCUCUGUAGUAAAACUAUGAUGGGGGGUGUGGAGACCAUUGUGAUUGUGAUAGACCCGGGAAACCUGGUCUGACACCCUUUUAAACGGCAGUUGGAGGAGGCUAAGGAAGUAAAAAAGUUGAAGUUGCCAGCUAACUA
rnacentral:lncRNA from 1 species